CUGAAGGGGAGGAGGCCUGUUUGUGUUUCAGGGUGACCAUACCUUGGUACUUGUACUGUUCUCAGAAGUUAUAAUAUUGUCAUGUAUUACAUUCAAAUCAAGUCUAAAAAAUCAAGUUUAAAUCAAGUCUUUUAUUAGAUACUGUCCCUUUAUGGUGCCUAAGCCUUAAAAGGUAGUUAAUUUUAUCUGUGCAAAGUGGUGGUAUUGCCAGAAUAUCCAUACCUAAGCUUGUAAAAUUAUUUUGGAAAUAGAAAAGUCUUGUGAUAAUAGUAUUCAAAUAUGACCACUGACAAACUUUAAUGAACAAUCUCUGGACACAUGUAAAAUUGAGUCCUUUGAAGUGCUUUGCAUCAGUUUAUCUUUGCUCUAACAAAGUCAUUAGGGCUCUUAGCAACCAUUUGAAGGGGUAAGCGAGGCCAAAAAUGAGAAAAUUCUGCAUAUCAUUGCUGUUCUGAAAGAAUCCGCAGAAAAUUCAAUGUAUGUAAAAUGUUUUGCUGAAUUCCACAUUUCUUCCCCACAGAUAUGAGUGCUCUCUCUCUCUCUGUAGCUCCUUGUUUGCAUGUUUAAUGUUGUGCCACUCCGAGUCUCCUCGCUCCUAUGGAAUUCAGAUGCUGCAUUUGUGCAUUUGCAGGGCUGUGACCUCGAGCAGCAUUUGCUCAAUGCAGUAACUACCAGUUGAGAAACAAAACAAAAAUCAACUCUAAUUGUGCCCAUUUAAAUUCAAACAUUGAAAAAUAGCUUAAAUAUGGUAUUUCUGAAUGUAAAUUUUAUAAAAAGUCUGACGACUUUAGGAUUCUGUUAGCUCUUUAGUCCCUCUGUAACGAGGCUAUUACAUGGCAUUGCUCAGAUUGAUGUUGAAAAUAAUGCAGCUGCUCUUGCAGCUGCAGCAAGAAUUCACAGAAGCCAGGAUGCAAAGCAAGCUCUGAUCAAAGUCCCUGCCUUCAGCUUUCUGCAGCAGGUUUGGAGCAAGGUGCAAAUCCAGCAUCCCCUCCUUCUGCUUCUUGAUUCAUGCAGAGAAACAGAGGGUGACAGGAAUGAAUUGCAGCAGCAGUACACUGGGGCUGGAGUAAACACAGAUUUUGGCAAUUCCAAAGGUAUUUGACAUCCUCCUCAUCCCAUUUCCUUACUCUCAGGUUUGUGCAGGAUGACUGAGACUUUGGUUCUUGUUGGCUCUUUCAUGGACAGGUUGAUAUUAGCUAAAAACAAUCUUAAAUCAUAUUGAAACUGAGAUUUACACAUAACUUAACCCAACAGGAAAAAAUCAAGUCACCCAGUCUUUCAUAGCCACCUUGUAAGGCCUUCAGAAAAAUAGUUCCCAGGAAGACUUACAAUAGCAGAUGACCAAAGAAGCAAAGAACCAUCAUUCAC
rnacentral:lncRNA from 1 species